rnacentral:rRNA from 1 species
ACCGAGGGUGCGAGCGUUAAUCGGAAUUACUGGGCGUAAAGGGCACGCAGGCGGCUUUGCAAGUCGGAUGUGAAAUCCCCGGGCUCAACCUGGGAACUGCAUUCGAAACUGCUCGGCUAGAGUAUGGGAGAGGGAAGUGGAAUUUCCGGUGUAGCGGUGAAAUGCGUAGAUAUCGGAAGGAACAUCAGUGGCGAAGGCGACUUCCUGGACCAAUACUGACGCUCAGGUGCGAAAGCGUGGGGAGCAAACAGG